UACGAAGGUGGCAAGCGUUGUUCGGAUUUACUGGGCGUACAGGGAGCGUAGGCGGUUGGAUAAGCCCUCCGUGAAAUCUCCAGGCUUAACCUGGAAAGUGCAGAGGGGACUGUUCAGCUAGAGGAUGGGAGAGGAGCGCGGAAUUCCCGGUGUAGCGGUGAAAUGCGUAGAGAUCGGGAGGAAGGCCGGCGGCGAAGGCGGCGAUCUGGAACAUUUCUGACGCUGAGGCUCGAAAGCGUGGGGAGCAAACAGG
rnacentral:rRNA from 1 species